rnacentral:tRNA from 1 species
GGAGCAGUCGCCGGAGGAAUCGUUGCUGGAAGACGUGCGGUUGA